GCGAGACGGGUGGGCCCGCGGCGGAGUGCGACCGAUAAACUGUUCACGGACCACGCCGGGCGCAGCUCCCGCGCGGGGUCCGACCAUGAUCAGCCAGCAGCCGCUGCAACCCCAGGGAG
rfam:Streptomyces bungoensis strain DSM 41781 genomic scaffold PRJNA299233_s006, whole genome shotgun sequence.